rnacentral:rRNA from 1 species
AAGGGCACCACAAGAACGCGUGGAGCAUGUGGCUUAAUUUGACUCAACGCGGGAAAUCUUACCGGGUCCGGACACACUGAGGAUUGACAGGCAAUAAAUUAAAAUAUAUUAUAUAUAUUUUAUGUUAAAUAUGCUAGUCCUUUCAUGAUUAUGUGAUAGGUGGUGCAUGGCCGUUCUUAGUUCGUGGAGUGAUCUGUCUGCUUAAUUGCGUUUCACUAAGGGCUUAUUAAUUUAACGUGUGUUGUUAGGCGUUAACUUUGACCCCUAAUUUUAAUAAAAUUAGUGCGUGUCUUAGUUUUUAUUGCUUUUAACUCACACAAUUAAGUCCUGAAAGCAACGAACGUGACCGCAACCUCUUGUUGCCUUUAUAUUUAUUUAUUUAUUUACGCCUCGCGCGUAAAAAAAUUUUAAAAAAAAAGGCUUUUUAAACUAGAGGGACCGCUGUAACUUUUUUAAACCAGAGGAAGGUUGCGGCAAUAACAGGUCUGUGAUGCCCUUAGAUGUUCCGGGCUGCACACGUGCUACAAUGAUUAUUGCAGUGAGCAUCUCAUUUUAAUUACACCGCUUUGCGCGUGUGAACACACAAAUUAUUUAUUUAAUUUGUAUGUUUUUUACAUUGCGCGCGGUAAAGCCUGCUUCGAAAGUAAGUGGGUAAUCGAUUAGAAGUAAUGAUUUCCCUAAUUUUAAUAGCACACAUAUAUACGGCAUCUUUACCCGGGUUUAAGCUUUUGUCUUUUACUUUUGUGCGUAUCGAUGUUUUUUCCGUAUGUGCAAUUGUCAAUUCAUGGUGGGGACAGACCAUUGUUAAUUGUUGGUCUCGGUCUUAACUAGGAAUGCCUUGUACGGGUCUUUGGUUCAACAAACCACCCGGAAUACGUCCCUGCCCUUUGUACACACCGCCCGUCGCUCUUACCGAUGGACUUCUCUGUGAGUUUGAGGGACUGGAUACUGUAAAAAAAUAAUUUUUAUUAAUUAUUUUUUACUACCCAUCUAUGGAAACUUAAACGAACAGUGUGGUCUAAAGGAAAGAGAAGUCGAACAAGGCA